UUUUUUUGGGGGGGGGGGAGGCACGUUCCCCCAAAUUAGUAAGCUACUGAAAUAAGUUAGAGAGCUUUAUAUGACUAAAAAAACUGCCAAGCAUUCAUUGUACAAAUGAGAAGUUUUCUCCUAGCAUAAUUUCUUUAAAUUCACCUUUCAAUGACUCUGAAAAUACCUGGCAAUAAUGAGAAUAUAUAGAAGGAAUGAACCAAAAGAGAUUUAUUUCUAUUAAGUCAUCCCAUAAAAAAUAGAAUUGAGAAUGUCUGAAACUCCAAGAGUGUAAUUUCUUGAUUUACUGGGGAGGAAUCUUAAAACUCUUAGUCAGUUUCAUCUCAAAGCUGAAAAAGGAACAGAAAUACAACCCUCAGUACUCUAGGCCACAUGUAAUUUUAAUACAGAAAAAAGCUUGUAAGCAUACCACAUUCCACCCAAAGCCCACGGUAGUAAUUUCUGAAACUCGGAGAAACUCCUACCGAUAUUAG
rnacentral:lncRNA from 1 species